rnacentral:ncRNA from 1 species
AGUAAAGUGUUGAUGAGGACAGUAGCACACAGUAUACAUACAGAGAAGAAAUGUCAAAAAAAUUUUUUUGGUUGAGAGCAUUUCUGUAGAAUGUGAAAGUGAAAACCACCUCGGAGCGGCUUUAAUACAGCACGCUGACUGCGUUAUCGUCAUAAUAAAGUGGUUUUUUUUAAAGCAAUUAGGGUGGAACCGCGGGAAUAAUAUGCUCUCGUCCCUUUU